UACAGAGGGUGCGAGCGUUGUUCGGAAUUAUUGGGCGUAAAGCGCUUGUAGGCGGCCUGUCAAGUCGCGUGUGAAAUCCCCUGGCUUAACCAGGGAAGUGCGCGCGAAACUGGCGGGCUUGAGUGCCGGAGAGGAAGAUGGAAUUCCCGGUGUAGCGGUGAAAUGUGUAGAGAUCGGGAGGAACACCGGUGGCGAAGGCGGUCUUCUGGACGGUGACUGACGCUGAGGCGCGAAAGCGUGGGGAGCAAACGGG
rnacentral:rRNA from 1 species